GGUAAUUCAGUAUAAAGGCAAAAAAUCUUUUCUACUUUCAAGCUGAACAAGUGUAUACUUCAAAGAGUAAACAACAUAUUCAUAUCUCUCCACAUGAUUAAGAAGCAAAUAGCAAUGAACCAGCUUGUUUGUUCUGUUCUAUUACCACUUACCACAAAUGUAAAACUUGAGUUCAUGGUCAAUGAAGUAGAGAACAGUAUCAAAAGGUUAAUAUCCCUGAUCCUAAAACCGAGCACCACUGGCUUUUCAGAUACAUUUCUUCUUCAUAGGGGCAAAAGCAAUACAGGGCAAGGGAUGAACUCAGCAAGAAGGUUUGCAUCUACAUGCUUGGAAUGGAUAGCUUCCAUGCUCAUAACUACCAUAUCCAAGUUCAUAUCAUCAGCAAUUUCACCAAUAAUGGCUGUUGGCUUGCUUCCUUCACCUAGCCGCUCUAACAGCUUGAAUUCUUGAUAUCCACCUUCAGCUAAAUGCCAUCGGAUGCUUGCUAGUUGUGUCUCGUGCUCUGGGUAUGCUUCUUUCCCCUUUUCAUCAAUAACAACAACUGUUAUAUCAGCUCCAUACUUCUUUGCCAUAGCAGCGGCAGUUGCUGCAGCCUGUCUUGAACCCUCAGAGAGAUAAGGAUUCCGGUCUGUAAUUGGUAACAGUACAUGCUUGAAGUUGGUGAAAGCAUCUGCUGCUGCGCUGUCUUCAGAUGCUUGAGCCUUAACAGAUACUUUGAGUCCGAUUCUCAAAUUCUUGUGGAAAUUAGAGAGGCUGCAAGUUUUGAGGUUUGAGGAAGAAAAAGAAGAACUCACCGAAGAUGAAAAGGGGCGGGUAAGGAUGGAAGUAGCGGUGUGGAAGUUUGUAGUAUCAGCCGGGACAGUAAGGAAGCAGUGAGCAAAUGCCAUGGAUGAAUAAGAUUUCUGGGUACUCGACAAGAUUUUAUGAGUGUGGCUUCCAGAAUAUGCAGGAUGAUAAGGACUAUAUAUCACGAUUUCGAGUCGGG
rnacentral:misc_RNA from 1 species